UGGGUUUCUUUUUGAAAUGCAUGGUUGGC
rnacentral:piRNA from 1 species